CGCGAGGAAGAAACACAAGAUGAAACCGAACCCGACCGAAAUCACGCGACAGAUCAGUAGGUACUUGUUCAGGAUCUCAUACUCGCCACCAGCUCAAUGAAGUUUUGAAUUUUUUAAUCGUGUGCAGAUGAUUCUAUGAAUUCCUGAAGCUUAAGAUUUCUCUGUUCUAUUUCGCUCUCUUCACUUAUAUUUUAUUUUAGUGCCUUCUAAUUUUAGAAUUUUGAAACUUUUAUGUAAAUCGAUGUAAAUUUUCAUGUAAAUCGACUUCAAGAUAAGCAGAAGGAUGCGUAGAAUUUGUGUUUGAAGUACGGGUACUAAGUGAGCAAAUGAAGAUCCAAGGAGAAAGUGCAAUUACGUUCGCCGAUGUAGCUGCGUGCGCGUCCUUCAGCACUCCGUGAUGCGAUAUUAGAAUUAGCGAAACUUGAUAUGUGGUUUCAAAGAAACGUCACGUGUCUCGCCGGAGACACAUGUAUCAAGCGCGAUUAUGUAAAGUGCACAGUAAUCUUGUAUGAAUGAGUGCGUAGAUCCUUAAUCGCGUGUCAAGGGGAUACGUCGCGAGGAAGGAUUGGCAGAAGUCGCCAUGAAAAAUCACUCGAGUGGUGCUGAAUUAAGGAGAGGUGGAGGGCAGUCUACGGAGUCGCGAUGGUCCUCUCGCGGAUGCUGCGGAGUCCCUUUCGACGUGCGGAUCCCAUUAAAACGUGAAAUUGCAUGGUGUUCUGUCGUCGCGCUUGCUCGACGGCAAACACCAUUUACGUGACUUGUCACUAAAGCCAUUUGCAAAGGCAUUUCACUUCUACAAAUUGAUUCUAUAUAAACUUCUCUGUGAAUAACAUGAGAUUAUGUGAGCAGUAAUAUGAGUAUUAUAUUUCAUUAGCGGCAGUUAUCGCAACCAGGAGAAAUAUGAAAGAAGGAUAUAAGCGUAGGUAGAAAUAUGAAAGAGGAACGCUUGGUGAUUUUACUCACUGGUCAAUUUGCAAAGUUGAUCGCAGCUCUUGAUGGUCGCAUGGAGUAAUCGUGCGAUCUGUUCACGGUGAGCUUGGAAGAUCAGCAUUUUGAAGAAUAUCAUGAAGACCCCGACGAAUACGCAUACGUUGUCGGUGACGACCAAGAAAUCGUCGAAAUUCAGGCAUCUCAAUAAUAUGGGAGAGUCCGAAUCAAGCAUCCACAAGCCGAUAUAUCUGCGUAAAUUACAAACGUAGAAGCUCAGGACUCAGAGCUUAUUAAAAAAUCACACAAACGAAACGUGAGUGCAAAUUGUGAGAUGCAAGUUUUAUAAAUUCUGUAACACAUUUUACUAUUAUAAUAUUGUAAUAUCUAUGACUUCUGUGUAACAUUCUAUAAAGCGUAUUUGUGAUUAGAUAUCAAGCAAUUACAAGUUUCAAGUUGUACAGAAAAUCUCAAAAAGCCAAGUUCCAGGAAGGAAAGAAUACUGUCUUUCUAUAUUCUUCAUUCUCAAGGAAACUUGGUGAAAAUGAAAUACACAACUUUAUCUGUUUCUUAAAAAGCAAUCAGGUAAUACGACCUUUAACAACUCACGUGACAAACGAUAUCAAAUCACAUCCAUACGUUGAUAUCUAUGAUUCUCACUUUAGAUACGUUUUGUAUAGAGUGUUUAGCUUCCGGAACUGCUCUAAACGGUUGCUGAUCGUCCUUCGUGCCAUUCCUGCAUGAAUCUGCUUCGUGACUGUGACGAUGAAGGACUUGCGCUAGGGCAUAGGGGGUCACCUGUAUCGCGUGGGUGCACCUCCUCGAGCGGCAUCAAAGUACACGUCGUUAUCGAGGAGGUCGUUUGGAUUCAUACGCCCCCUCUCCUGUCGGAAAAUUGCCCAUGAUAAACGGCGAGCGCGAUUGUACUGUCAUUUUUCGAAUUAUAGACUCUCGCUCGUGCGGCACAUAUUGUGUGCUUUUUUCCCCCUUUUUUCCUUUCUUUCUUAUUCAGCUCGGCCAAUAAUUUAUGAAAGUGACGGUAGUUGCAUCGCAAUUGCAUAAUCCGCGUUUUGCAUGACAAACUGCUUUGCAUGGGUGUCGAUAGGAUUUUUUUCAUGGAAGAUUUUAUGUGUGUAUUGUCUUUUAUAUUAAAUUUAUAUAAAGGUAUGUAAAAAUAUAAUUAAACAGUUCCUUGCAGUCGAUUUUAAUAAUAAUCUGUUUUUCAUAUUUUUACAUCUCUUAUUUUAUUCUACUAAGAACUCAACUAAAUAGAGCGUAUUCUCUUUGCGGCACCCAUGGACACGAUAAGAGGCCAAUAAAAAACAAUUUACGAAGCUGCAAUCGACGAACGUCUAAAACGACCUAUGUCGUUUUCUACUUAUCGGAAAUAAUCGACUCGGCUGCAAUUCAUCAAUGUGUGUUUUGUCACAGAACGAUUCCGUCACUUCGAGUACAGAAUAUUGUCAGUCAUAUCUUUACAACGAUACCGUGAUUUUCUCGUGAUGUUGUUUGUGAAAACAAGCUAGACGCUUUUCGAAGUCAGAAAUAUCAAUGGACAUGGUACAAAACUUGUAAAAUCGGCAAAAGGAUAUGUCAGAAGUGGGAUUCGAACCCACGCCCUCAGAGAGGACCAGAAAGCCCAUCACUCGGUAUUGAACCGAGAAGGUGUGAACCUUGAGUCUGGCGCCUUAGACCGCUCGGCCAUCCUGACAGUUGAGUGUGGCUAUCUUAUUAUUCUAUAUCUUGCACAUAUUCACAUGUACAUGCAAAACACGUGUUCAAGUGUAAUGUAAAAAAUAUGCACAGGUAUAUUCCGCGUCAUUUCAUAAAAAAUUUUAGGAAUUUUCCGCACAACUAAAGCAUAGUGUCUGAUAUAAAUUUUUUUAAAUAUUCUGUUAAUUAACAAAAUGCAAAAACAAUUUCAAUGUAACGUUAUAUACAGUUUUAAGUAGAAAUAUGAACAUAUUUGCGCUUUAAGUUGAUACAUUUUUUUUCUUUACUAAUGCCGUUUAUGUGUACAAAAGAGUAUGUCAGAAGUGGGAUUCGAACCCACGCCCUCAGAGAGGACCAGAAAACCCUGAACUCGGUUUUGAACCGAGAAGGUAUGAACCUUGAGUCUGGCGCCUUAGACCGCUCGGCCAUCCUGACAUUUGAACACGUAGCUUGUACAGUCAUUACAUGAGACCGACCACUUUACGUUUGUACUAUAAAUAUAUAUAUAUAUAUAUAUAUA